UACGUAGGGGGCUAGCGUUGUUCGGAAUACUGGGCGUAAAGCGCGCGCAGGCGGUUCUUCAAGUCAGUGGUGAAAGCCCGGAGCUCAACUCCGGAACUGCCAUUGAAACUGCAGAGCUUGAGUACUGGAGAGGAUGGUGGAAUUCCCCAAGUAGAGGUGAAAUUCGUAGAUAUGGGGAGGAACACCGGUGGCGAAGGCGACCAUCUGGACAGAUACUGACGCUGAGACGCGAAAAGCGUGGGGAGCAAACAGG
rnacentral:rRNA from 1 species